CAAUCCCCACCCCCACGACUACAACGCUCUGGCGCGGCGCACGCGCUGGAUCCCGAGAGGCCGCCACCUCCUAGCGCCCAACACCCUCCUCCACCUUCCAGCUCCGCCGGAGUCCCGCCCCACCCCCGCCUCCUUCUUCUGGCUGCGACCCCGCGCCGCCACUUCACCUGCUGCGUCCGUGCGAGGCGAGCAAGGCCUCCCCCGUGCCCACCUCUCUCCCAGGAGAACCACCUUCCCGCCGCCCACCUUCCUCUUCCUCCCCCGCCUCUCGGCCACCCUCCACCUCCUAUCCUUCCCCUACCUAGCGAUGAAUCUGCCGGGUCAUGGCGGAUCCUGCGGGAUGCUCCUCCACCUCGCUCCUCCCACCCCCGUCUGGCCACCUGCCCCGGCUGCAACCGCCUGAGCCGGCAGGUUCCUCCUCCCGUGCCUGCCCGGCGACGCGCGUGAGGUGAGUCGACCCUCGUCCCGGUGCCCCGCCCCCUCCUGGCUCCGGCGUGCCCCGGUGGUCUACCUCGUGCUCCUUGCCGGAUCCGUCUUCCGUCUUGCCCGUGGGCACUGGGGCCGCCGCGUCGACCAGGGGGAGAAACAAGGACUACGCCCAAUCCCUUUCCCAUCGAGCUGCAUCUCCCCCUGGAGGCCACGGCUGUUGCGACGCCCUGUCCUCAUCCAGAUCGGGGCCACGGCUGCCUCCCCCAAGUUCCUCCUUCCCUCGCUGGCGAUGAGAGUAAGGGGAGUCAUGCUGCAAUUUUUCUCUUGUCGGAACCAUCGAUGACCGUGGUUUUGUGCAGCUCAUCGCCGGCGGCAGCGUGCGGUGUUGAUUCGACGAGCGUGCAGUUCAGUUCUGCGUCAAGGGGACACGCCCCUGCGCCUCCAGGCGUGCAUCUCAUCAGUGGUAUUUUUUUCUUGAAGAGGAGAACGAUGGUCACACGACUGGCUAUGCGGGUCUGCUGCCUCCAGCCUAGCCGAGGGUGGCCACACAGAGUCCACCCCACGCGUGCACUUCGGUGCUCCCUCUAUGUGUGUUUAAUCGGAGCACGGGUUCCACCACCGCAUUGUUGUAGCUCUGUUGGCAUUUUAUUGCAGUUACUGAUCAUGGUCUGCUGGCGCAUCCAUGCAGUACUCCGCGCGUGUGUGUAGUCACAUACUUUGUUAGAUAUGCAGCUCACUGUAAAUAAUUUUCCAACUCGGGAACGAAUGAGAUGUGGCUAGAUGUGCAGCUCA